CCUACGGGAGGCAGCAGUGGGGAAUCUUGCACAAUGGGGGAAACCCUGAUGCAGCGACGCCGCGUGAGUGAUGAAGCCCUUCGGGGUGUAAAGCUCUUUCGACGGGAACGAUAAUGACGGUACCCGGAGAAGAAGCUGCGGCUAACUACGUGCCAGCAGCCGCGGUAAUACGUAGGCAGCAAGCGUUGUUCGGAAUUACUGGGCGUAAAGAGUACGUAGGUGGUUUGCUAAGUCCGAUGUGAAAUCUCCUGGCUUAACUGGGAGGGUGCGUUAGAUACUGGCAGGCUUGAAUGUGGGAGAGGAGAGCGGAAUUCCUGGUGUAGCGGUGAAAUGCGUAGAUAUCAGGAGGAACGCCUGUGGUGUAGACGGCUCUCUGGACCAUUAUUGACACUGAGGUACGAAAGCGUGGGUAGCAAACAGGAUUAGAUACCCUGGUAGUCCACGCCCUAAACGAUGCAUACUUGGUGUGGGCAGUCAGUCUGUCGUCGCGGNGCUACGACGUUAGUAUGCCGCCGUGGGUAGGUACGGUCGCGAGGCGUGAACGUUAAAGGUAAAGUUAGACGGCGUGAGACGUGCCGACGGACGACGACGAGGGAGGUAGG
rnacentral:rRNA from 1 species